UGGAAUGAUGAUUUCUCAGACUAGAAUCUAACACUGGUCCCAACAUCAAAAAUUAAGUUCUA
rnacentral:snoRNA from 1 species